rnacentral:lncRNA from 1 species
UAGCACAACAGAUAACAAAUUCCCAAACACCAGGAGCAUUACCUAGUGCAACAGUGACAAAUCCGAGGGAGCACAAUAAUGUGAGUGCGGUAACAACAAGAAGCGGGAAAUAUGUUGAAGAUCUUAAGAAGAAGGAGGAAGAAGAAGAUCAAUUGCUUGAAGUGGACCUGGAAAUCUUAGAAAACAAGACACCACCUGAGGAAGAAAGUGUG